GCAGCCGCCACGGGAAUACGAAGGGGGCUAGCGUUGUUCGGAUUUACUGGGCGUAAAGCGCACGUAGGCGGAUCGAUCAGUCAGGGGUGAAAUCCCAGAGCUCAACUCUGGAACUGCCUUUGAUACUGUCGAUCUGGAGUAUGGAAGAGGUGAGUGGAAUUCCGAGUGUAGAGGUGAAAUUCGUAGAUAUUCGGAGGAACACCAGUGGCGAAGGCGGCUCACUGGUCCAUUACUGACGCUGAGGUGCGAAAGCGUGGGGAGCAAACAGGAUUAGAUACCCCUGUAGUCCCUGUCUCUUAUAC
rnacentral:rRNA from 1 species